UCCGUAGGUGAACCUGCGGAAGGAUCAUUAACAAGCCGUGAAGAUCGCCCUGGAAAGGGAAUGAUCUCUCACCCGGCCACCCUUGCUUACUUUAACCUGUUGCUUUGGUGGGCCCGCCGCGAGGCCGCCGGGAACUUUUGAGUUUCCAGGCCCGUGCCCACCAAGGUCUUGACGAACUCUGCAAGAUCUUUGCUGUCUGAGCGUGAAAGCGCAAUCAUUUAAAACUUUCAACAACGGAUCUCUUGGUUCCGGCAUCGAUGAAGAACGCAGCGAAAUGCGAUAAGUAAUGUGAAUUGCAGAAUUCCGUGAAUCAUCGAAUCUUUGAACGCAUAUUGCGCCCUCUGGUAUUCCGGAGGGCAUGCCUGUCCGAGCGUCAUUGCUACCCUCAAGCGCAGCUUGUUUGUUGAGCCCGAUUGUCCCUUAAUGGACAGGCUCGAAAUGCAGUGGCGAUGCCGAGUUUGGUGCCCAAGUGUAUGGAGCUUUGUCACACGCUUUGGUGGCCCAGCCGGCAUUUGUCUUUAUAUCAUCUAAGAUUUGACCUCGGAUCAGGUAGGGAUACCCGCUGAACUUAAGCAUAUCAAUAAGCGGAGGA
rnacentral:rRNA from 1 species